rnacentral:rRNA from 1 species
UGGAGAGUUUGAUCCUGGCUCAGGACGAACGCUGGCGGCGUGCUUAACACAUGCAAGUCGAACGGAAAGGCCCCUUCGGGGGUACUCGAGUGGCGAACGGGUGAGUAACACGUGGGUAAUCUGCCCUGCACUUCGGGAUAAGCCUGGGAAACUGGGUCUAAUACCGGAUAGGACCCCGAGGCGCAUGCCUUGGGGUGGAAAGCUUUUGCGGUGUGGGAUGGGCCCGCGGCCUAUCAGCUUGUUGGUGGGGUGACGGCCUACCAAGGCGACGACGGGUAGCCGGCCUGAGAGGGUGUCCGGCCACACUGGGACUGAGAUACGGCCCAGACUCCUACGGGAGGCAGCAGUGGGGAAUAUUGCACAAUGGGCGCAAGCCUGAUGCAGCGACGCCGCGUGGGGGAUGACGGCCUUCGGGUUGUAAACCUCUUUCACCAUCGACGAAGGUCCGGGUUUUCUCGGAUUGACGGUAGGUGGAGAAGAAGCACCGGCCAACUACGGUGCCAGCAGCCGCGGUA